UUUAAAGGGCUUGUGAAGAGAACUGUGAUUUUGCAUCUCAAGAAAGAAAUAUUUCAUCUACGUUUUAACAGUGAAUGAAAAACCUUUUAACGCCUACAGUUCCACAACGAUGAAAGGCUUUUAAUAAAAGUCUCCGACAGAGGAGGCUUAGAGAGGACGAGCGAACCCCGCCCCGCGGCUCCAAGGCCGGAGAAGCCAGAAACAAACAACUCCGCCCCUGCGCCGCCCCGACGCCGGCUGCCCGGGGUUCCAGCAGAAACUAGCCAUUUUCCCCCGUGCAGACGCGGGUAUCUCCCUAGAACGCCACCGACCCCGGAGCGAUCUUCUUCCUCUAGCCCGGGGCUGCGCUUUGUCCCGCUCCUCUCCCCCUCCCCCUGCCCAACUGCACCCGCCGCGCCCGGGGCUGGGGGACCUCUUCUCGCCCUCCCCCUGGGACCAGCGCCAGGAAGAAAAGCCUGUCCGAGCCACACAUACACCGGGGCCGCCUUUCCCUGCCCCAGAUCCUGUCGUCACCGACAGACGGGCUGCUCGCGGCUCGGAAGGGCUCAGAUAACAAGGACUCGCUCGGCGCCGCCUUUGUUCUUCCCCACGGUUCUGCUGCGCCCCGGGCGCAGUCCUGGCUGCGCUCCCGCACCCGCACCCGCACCCGCACCCCGCGCUGCGGCGGCGGCCGGGCUCGAGGAUUUGGGGCAGCGAAGCUACACCUCGCAAACAAAGCAUAAAGGCUGACCCUUACCCAAAGAAGCUGUAAAGGAAAGAAGGAAAGAGGGCUUCAGGUUUUCCCAGCAGAUCUUGGGGGACUGACCCCACCCAAGGGCCACAAAGAGCCAGAGAAGGAAGAUUCUUACCAUGGUUGCUGCUUGGCGGCUGCCGGGCGGAUGGCGGAGAAGAGGAGAGGUUGUUGCUUCUUACAGCGCGACUCUUAGGCGGUCGAUGUAAGAGAACCUGCGGCACAUGGGCGGAUGCGGCUCCCUAUAUACAACUCGGUCACCAUGGGGAUGGGCUGGGGCCUUUUCCUGUUGGUCCAGACCCCCUCAAUCUGCCCGGAGAAGUCACGACAGGAGAGUGGUGAUUGGUGCAAGCAACAUGGGAUGAGGAGACGAGGGAGAUUAUGCUCCUGAUUUCCUCACCUGGACACCAGGACCCCAACGCGAGGGAAUAAUACAUGCUGGGCAAUGAAACCUUCAGGUCCCUGCGCUUUUUAACACAGGCACAACCAGCAAAAGUAGAGAACCUGGCUGUGUUUCAGAGAGAUCACAGUAACAUACCCGACAGAGUGCUGUGAGGAUGAAAUAACACACAGGAAAGAACAUCACAACCGUGAAGACCCAAGCCUCGUUACAAUUCCCGGCAACCACGCCGGCUCAGGAGCAGAAGCGCAAACCCCUCGUCUUCUUUCUGUGGGCCUCAGCCAUAGGGGGAGAAAGGUGGUGCCACACUCUCUCCCAGUGGAUGAUGAUGACGUGUUCUAGGCAGAUGAUUGCGGAGGCUCCUGUCAAAUGAGUGAAGAGAAAGAGGAAGUGGGGAGAGGAGGAGGGACUCAAGAAACCCCACUGCAACAAUCCUGGAAUAAAAAUGAGGGGCCGUUAUGGGAAAUGAUAAGCGCGAUCACCGCGAAACUCAGUCCCUUGCCCAUUGUUUUUUUUUCCCCCCCAAUUAUGAUAAGCACUCAUGAUAUUUUGUAAAUAACUUACAGCAGGAUAAGAUAAAUGAAAGAGAGUUCCUAUCGGGUUCUAUCUUCCCUCUGCUUUAGGAUCGUCUCAAAUAACAAUGAUCCUUUUUUUAGCUUUAGGAAGCUUUAAAAACAGUCAAGCCCUUUGGAGCAUUGGGUUUCCAAACCAUAAGGUUUCCCUUCUGGACAGAAGGGCUGCUCGGGUUGUGCCCCUCGCUUUCGGGCCCGCGCGGUCGUGGGGCAUAUCGUGCAGCAUCCCGAGCGCAGGCGACUUUGGAACGUGGGCUCAGCCCCAGCGGUCCCGGGAGGCGACGCCGCAGCCUCGGGCGAGAUCCGCGCUUUCCCC